GGAUAACAGCGGGAAACUGCUGCUAACACCCCAUAAUGCUGAGGAGCUAAAAGUGAAAACUGCCAAGAGAGAGGCUUGCGUCUGAUUAGCUAGUUGGGGAGGUAAAGGCUUCCCAAGGCGACGAUCAGUAGCUGGUCUGAGAGGAUGAUCAGCCACACUGGGACUGAGACACGGCCCAGACUCCUACGGGAGGCAGCAGUGGGGAAUUUUCCACAAUGGGCGAAAGCCUGAUGGAGCAAUACCGCGUGGGUGAAGACGGUUCGUGGAUUGUAAAGCCCUUUUCUUAAGAAAGAAUAAAUGACGGUACUUAAGGAAUAAGCACCGGCUAACUCUGUGCCAGCAGCCGCGGUAAUACAGGGGGUGCAAGCGUUGUCCGGAAUGAUUGGGCGUAAAGCAUCUGUAGGCGGUU
rnacentral:rRNA from 1 species